rnacentral:rRNA from 1 species
CACGUAGUUAGCCGGGGCUUCUUAGUCAGGUACCGUCAUUUUCUUCCCUGCUGAUAGAGCUUUACAUACCGAGAUACUUCUUCACUCACGCGGCGUCGCUGUAUCAGGGUUUCCCCCAUUGUGCAAUAUUCCCCACUGCUGCCUCCCGUAGGAGUUUGGGCCGUGUCUCAGUCCCAAUGUGGCCGUCCGCCCUCUCAGGCCGGCUACCGAUCGUCGCUUUGGUGGGCCGUUACCCCGCCAACUGGCUAAUCGGACGCGGAUCCAUCGUAUGCCGAUAAAUCUUUUCACACCGUACCAUGCGGUACUGUGCGCUUAUGCGGUAUUAGCAGCUGUUUCCAACUGUUAUCCCCCUGCAUACGGCAGGUUAUCCACGCGUUACUCACCCGUCCGCCACUAACUUAACAAUCACUAGGUUUCAUGUUAAGCCCGUUCGACUUGCAUGUGUUAGGCACGCCGCCAGCGUUUAUCCUGAGCCAGGAUCAAACUCU